rnacentral:hammerhead_ribozyme from 1 species
AUCUAGCUGACAAGUUCCAAAUAGAACGUAACUUAAGUCUUGAAU